AGCAGAAAAGAAAAGAAGAAAUAAAAUAAAAAACACACAAUCAAGUACGUGAAACAGCCCAAGUGCUGCCUCCACGGGACAGGCAAGCUUCACUGAGAAAAAAAAAUAAUACAAGAGGAGAACAUCUACUCUCAACUCUCUGUAUACAUACAUCUCUCAACUAGAAGCUAUCCUCACAAAAGCUCUCUCAAAAUCUUCCAAAGAGACCCUCUCACAGGCCUGCCAGUAUCAGGAUUUUCGACACCCCUAGAUGCUUCCUGUGAAAACUGCUACAUCAUGCCUCACCGCAACUGCUCUGCCUGAUGCUCUGCUCUGCCCCCGAUCUCCUGUCGGUGCUCUGUAGUGUCUGCUCUGCCUACUGCACACCAUCAAUACAUAUUGGACUCUCUCCUGAUGGCUGCCAAGGCCUCUCCUCAACUCUGAUUUCUCCUCUGCAUGAUCAAGAUGGUAUCAGCUUUUCAACGUAAUAAACGACUCGUCAAUCAGAGAUAUAUAGGCUCCAGAAUCUCAAAAAUAUUAUUACACUAGAAAUACUAAAUCCCAAUCAACCCUUAAACCAUCCAUGGCUGUUCGAUCAUGAUCAGCUCGCAUCAGAGCUGUCGGAUCGCACACUAUAGCUUCAGAUCA
rnacentral:lncRNA from 1 species